rnacentral:rRNA from 1 species
UACGGGGGGGGCAAGCGUUGUUCGGAAUUACUGGGCGUAAAGGGCUCGUAGGCGGCCAACUAAGUCAUACGUGAAAUCCCUCAGCUUAACUGGGGAACUGCGUGUGAUACUGGAUGGCUUGGAUUUGGGAGAGGGAUGCGGAAUUCCAGGUGUAGCGGUGAAAUGCGUAGAUAUCUGGAGGAACACCGGUGGCGAAGGCGGCAUCCUGGACCAAUAUUGACGCUGAGGAGCGAAAGCGUGGGGAGCAAACAGG